rnacentral:rRNA from 1 species
UACGUAGGGUGCGAGCGUUAAUCGGAAUUACUGGGCGUAAAGCGUGCGCAGGCGGUUCGUUGUGUCGGCGGUGAAAGCCCCGGGCUCAACCUGGAAACUGCCCCUGAUACUAUUAGUCUUGAAUAUUGAUGAGGUGGGCGGAACGGGUCAUGUAGCGGUGAAAUGCUUAGAGAUGACCCGGAACACCAAUUGCGAAGGCAGCUCACUGGGCAAUUAUUGACGCUGAGGCACGAAAGCGUGGGGAUCAAACCAGG